rnacentral:lncRNA from 1 species
AUGCUUAAAGUGAAACGUCCUGCUCUUUCUAGUGUCAUUAACAUAUACUCUAUAUUGACACAUUAUUUGAGCAAUUGGAUUUCAAACAGUUUUAUUCUUAUCCUUCUUAUUCUUAUUCUUUAUCCUUAUCAACAGUUUUAUUCCUUUUUCUGUUGGGACAUCUGGGAGCAUCAAGAGAUAAGCAGACUUCUCUUUGUAGUCUGGACUGAGAGGAACACUAGGAAGUACAAGGAAUUUCCACUCAUACACUCAUGCAGAAUUAAAAUGUCUUGCUUUUCCUCCCAUGGCAUCGUUUCCUCUUCAACAGAACUGGGUCCUUCACAAUACUCAAGCACCAUGAGCAUUCAUAAGAUGCUGUUCAGGUCAACCUGAAAUUUCACCUACUGGGCUAACUUCAGGUAUUGCACCAAAUUUCAGACUCUUGCAGUUUGGCUCUGAUUUUCCCAAUUCUGAGUAGCAGAUCAAAAGUUUUUGUUGUCCUCCUUGUCAUGGACGAUUCACGGCAAGGGUAGACCUCUCCUUGAUAGAUAGACACAGAUAGGGCAAACUACAGAACAUGUCCCCAGAACUGGAAAGGAGCAGCAGAGUGGAAUAGUCUGGGGCUUCUCUGAGCAGAGGUUAUGUAGUGUGAGUGGAAAGCAUAACACACUACUGGUGAGAAGAAAAGAUGUCAGGUUACUGCUUGUUUGAGAGGUCAGACAAGAUCAGAAUUGCCCCUUGACCAUACAGGUGACUGUGAAAUGUCAGCUAAAUAAAAAUGAUUGUUUAAACUACA